rnacentral:rRNA from 1 species
UGGGGAAUAUUGGGCAAUGGGCGCAAGCCUGACCCAGCAACGCCGCGUGAAGGAAGAAGGCUUUCGGGUUGUAAACUUCUUUUGUCGGGGACGAAACAAAUGACGGUACCCGACGAAUAAGCCACGGCUAACUACGUGCCAGCAGCCGCGGUAAUACGUAGGUGGCAAGCGUUAUCCGGAUUUACUGGGUGUAAAGGGCGUGUAGGCGGGAUUGCAAGUCAGAUGUGAAAACUGGGGGCUCAACCUCCAGCCUGCAUUUGAAACUGUAGUUCUUGAGUGCUGGAGAGGCAAUCGGAAUUCCGUGUGUAGCGGUGAAAUGCGUGGAUAUACGGAGGAACACCAGUGGCGAAGGCGGAUUGCUGGACAGUAACUGACGCUGAGGCGCGAAAGCGUGGGGAGCAAACAGG